UAGGCCCAUCUUGACAUAAACCCAUUAGGUUACAUGCUACUAAAAUCAUUACCUGUUUAAACAUUUUAGAUUUUGUUUCUCUCUCACGUUGAAGUUUCUUAACAUUCCCUUUGAAAACCCUAGCUGCCGCUAUCAUUCCGGCCGUCGCCCCCUCCGUCCAGUAAACUUUGACAAAAUAAAAUACAUAUUUUUUUAUGCUCUCUUUCUCCUCUAUAUUUAUAUUAAAGUGUAUUUUAAAAAGGAGCAAUCUUGAAAAUUAAUGGAUGUGCAUUUUUCAACCUUCAACUGUUCACCUAUGAUGAAGCCAUGAACAACUCUCUCUACAGACCAACAACAAAGGAAUCAAAGACAUCAAAAGAAUAAAAAAAAUCAUAUCUAGUUUAAAUCUGUAUUUUUUUGGCAUCUUUGUGAGGUUCACACCAGAGCUCCGCCACAAAAGCUCCAAUCCGGUCAACUUUGAACUCAUUAAUAUGACAUUCAUCAUUUGCUGAAGAGAUGAAGAUAAAAAAAUGGAGAAACAAAAAAAGUUAGAUGAUAAAGUGACAUGAUAUUAUUUAUGAAGAAAUUGCAUAAAAGCUAAAUGUGGAAGUUUUUUUUUUCAUACCUUAAUCUUUUGUGUAGCAUGAAGUUUUUCA